rnacentral:other from 1 species
AAUGCCCUGCUCGGUGCGUGAAUCGGACCCUUUUAAACCCACAUUUCUUAAACGGGAUGCUGACUCGCCGUGUGGAUUGCAGGCCUCCCGACCUCGGUUGGAAGAAGGAAGCAUGAAGCAUGGCGGAGGCGACCCACCUGCCAUUACGUGCAGGUUUUAAUCGGGUCCCCACGGCCAGAGCGGGGCAUUU